CAUCCUCCAAGGCUAAAUACUCCUGACUGACCGAUAGUGAACCAGUACCGUGAGGGAAAGGCGAAAAGAACCCCGGCGAGGGGAGUGAAAAAGAACCUGAAACCGUGUACGUACAAGCAGUGGGAGCCCCACCACUAAGCCAGUGGUGAACUCCACAUACGCAUCCUUUGCUGAGGAUACGGUUAACGGAGCGAAAGCGACGUUCAACCUCAAAAGAAGCAGAGGGGGCUUAGUGGUGGGGUGACUGCGUACCUUUUGUAUAAUGGGUCAGCGACUUAUAUUCUGUAGCAAGGUUAACCGUAUAGGGGAGCCGGAGGGAAACCGAGUCUUAAUUGGGCGUUAAGUUGCAGGGUAUAGACCCGAAACCCGGUGAUCUAGCCAUGGGCAGGUUGAAGGUUGGGUAACACUAACUGGAGGACCGAACCGACUAAUGUUGAAAAAUUAGCGGAUGACCUGUGGCUGGGGGUGAAAGGCCAAUCAAACCGGGAGAUAGCUGGUUCUCCCCGAAAGCUAUUUAGGUAGCGCCUCGUGAAUUCAUCUCCGGGGGUAGAGCACUGUUUCGGCUAGGGGGCCAUCCCGGCUUACCAACCCGAUGCAAACUGCGAAUACCGGAGAAUGUUAUCACGGGAGACACACGGCGGGUGCUAACGUCCGUCGUGAAGAGGGAAACAACCCAGACCGCCAGCUAAGGUCCCAAAGUCAUGGUUAAGUGGGAAACGAUGUGGGAAGGCCCAGACAGCCAGGAUGUUGGCUUAGAAGCAGCCAUCAUUUAAAGAAAGCGUAAUAGCUCACUGGUCGAGUCGGCCUGCGCGGAAGAUGUAACGGGGCUAAACCAUGCACCGAAGCUGCGGCAGCGA
rnacentral:rRNA from 2 species